GACGAACGCUGGCGGCGUGCUUAACACAUGCAAGUCGAACGGAAAGGCCCUGCUUGCAGGGUGCUCGAGUGGCGAACGGGUGAGUAACACGUGGGUGAUCUGCCCCUUACUUUGGGAUAAGCCUGGGAAACUGGGUCUAAUACUGGAUAGGACCAUGCUGUAGGUGGUGUGGUGGAAAGAUUAGUUUCGGUAAGGGAUGAGCUCGCGGCCUAUCAGCUUGUUGGUGGGGUAAUGGCCUACCAAGGCGUCGACGGGUAGCCGGCCUGAGACGGUGGACGGCCACAUUGGGACUGAGAUACGGCCCAGACUCCUACGGGAGGCAGCAGUGGGGAAUAUUGCACAAUGGGCGCAAGCCUGAUGCAGCGACGCCGCGUGGGGGAUGACGGCCUUCGGGUUGUAAACUCCUUUCAGCCAUGACGAAGCCCUUGUGGUGACGGUAGUGGUAGAAGAAGCACCGGCUAACUACGUG
rnacentral:rRNA from 1 species